rnacentral:misc_RNA from 1 species
GAUGAAGAACGCAGCGAAAUGCGAUAAGUAGUGUGAAUUGCAGAAUUCAGUGAAUCAUCGAAUCUUUGAACGCACAUUGCGCCCCUUGGUAUUCCAUGGGGCAUGCCUGUUCGAGCGUCAUUUGUACCUUCAAGCUAUGCUUGGUGUUGGGUGUUUGUCCUCUCCCUGCGUUUGGACUCGCCUUAAAGCGAUUGGCAGCCUAUAUUUGGUUUUGAGCGCAGCACAUUUUGCGUCUUACUACUUAUUCUAUAGGCACCCAUUAAGCCUUUUAUCACGUUUGACCUCGGAUCAGGUAGGGAUACCCGCUGAACUUAAGCAUAUCAAUAAGCGGAGGA